AUUGAACGCUGGCGGCAGGCCUAACACAUGCAAGUCGAACGAGUGGCGGACGGGUGAGUAAUGUCUGGGAAACUGGCUGAUGGAGGGGGAUAACUACUGGAAACGGUAGCUAAUACCGCAUACCAUCAGAUGUGCCCAGAUGGGAUUAGGUAGUUGGUGGGGUAACGGCUCACCAAGGCGACGAUCCCUAGCUGGUCUGAGAGGAUGACCAGCCACACUGGAACUGAGCCACGGCCCAGACUCCUACGGGAGGCAGCAGUGGGGAAUAUUGCGCAAUGGGCGCAAGCCUGAUGCAGCCAUGCCGCGUGUAUGAAGAAGGCCUUCGGGUUGUAAAGUACUUUCAGUUGGGAGGCGUUACCAACAGAAUAAGCACCGGCUAACUCCGUGCCAGCAGCCGCGGUAAUAC
rnacentral:rRNA from 1 species